rnacentral:lncRNA from 1 species
GGAAUCCCAGAGAAGGAGAAGCCCCUGUCAACCUUUUAUUGGGAGUGGAACACAUGAGGUUCAGCUCGUGCCGGGCACUGUACAUUCACUGAAGCAGCUCAAGGGGCUCAGCCCCGACACUGACGCCACACUGAGCAGGAUGCACGGCCCGGGGCUCACACUGUCCAUGGAGGAGGUGGGGUCAGCCCGAGGUGGGCGGAUGGUGGCCCGAGACACCGAGAGCUUGGUUCUGGGACUGUGGCUCAGCUGACCCGUGGCACAGCUGCACCUAAGACAUGGCCCUGGCUA